rnacentral:rRNA from 1 species
AUUGAACGCUGGCGGCAGGCCUAACACAUGCAAGUCGAACGGUAACAGGAAGCAGCUUGCUGCUUUGCUGACGAGUGGCGGACGGGUGAGUAAUGUCUGGGAAACUGCCCGAUGGAGGGGGAUAACUACUGGAAACGGUAGCUAAUACCGCAUAACUUCGCAAGACCAAAGAGGGGGACCUUAGGGCCUCUUGCCAUCGGAUGUGCCCAGAUGGGAUUAGCUAGUAGGUGGGGUAACGGCUCACCUAGGCGACGAUCCCUAGCUGGUCUGAGAGGAUGACCAGCCACACUGGAACUGAGACACGGUCCAGACUCCUACGGGAGGCAGCAGUGGGGAAUAUUGCACAAUGGGCGCAAGCCUGAUGCAGCCAUGCCGCGUGUAUGAAGAAGGCCUUCGGGUUGUAAAGUACUUUCAGCGGGGAGGAAGGGAGUAAAGUUAAUACCUUUGCUCAUUGACGUUACCCGCAGAAGAAGCACCGGCUAACUCCGUG